UAAUUGGAGAGUUUGAUCCUGGCUCAGGACGAACGCUGGCGGCGUGCUUAACACAUGCAAGUCGUACGAGAAAGCUCGCUUCGGUGGGUGAGUAAAGUGGCGCACGGGUGAGUAACACGUGGGUAACCUACCUUCCAGAGGGGGAUAACAUACCGAAAGGUGUGCUAAUACCGCAUAACACUACAUUGUUUAUUAUUUUGUAGUCAAAGGUGGCUUCGGCUACCACUGGGAGAUGGGCCCGCGGACCAUUAGCCAGUUGGUGAGGUAACGGCUCACCAAAGCUACGAUGGUUAGCUGGUCUGAGAGGAUGGCCAGUCACACUGGAACUGGAACACGGUCCAGACUCCUACGGGAGGCAGCAGUGAGGAAUCUUGCGCAAUGGGGGGAACCCUGACGCAGCAACGCCGCGUGAGUGAAGAAGGCCUUCGGGUUGUAAAGCUCUGUCAGAGU
rnacentral:rRNA from 1 species